UACGGAGGGUGCAAGCGUUUAUCCGGAUUCACUGGGUUUAAAGGGUGCGUAGGCGGGCAGGUAAGUCCGUGGUGAAAUCUCUGAGCUUAACUCAGAAACUGCCAUGGAUACUAUUUGUCUUGAAUAUUGUGGAGGUGAGCGGAAUAUGUCAUGUAGCGGUGAAAUGCUUAGAUAUGACAUAGAACACCAAUUGCGAAGGCAGCUCACUACACAGUCAUUGACGCUGAGGCACGAAAGCGUGGGGAUCAAACAGG
rnacentral:rRNA from 1 species